rnacentral:rRNA from 1 species
UACGAAGGGUGCAAGCGUUACUCGGAAUUACUGGGCGUAAAGCGUGCGUAGGCGGUUCGUUAAGUCUGUCGUGAAAGCCCUGGGCUCAACCUGGGAAUUGCGAUGGAUACUGGCGAGCUAGAGUACGGUAGAGGAUGGUGGAAUUCCCGGUGUAGCGGUGAAAUGCGUAGAGAUCCGGAAGAACACCGGUGGCGAAGGCGGCCUGCUGGGCAGUUGCUGACACUGAGGCGCGACAGCGUGGGGAGCAAACAGG